UGUCCCUGAGACAUGAUGGUGAAGGUCAGAGUAAACAGAUUUGGCCGUAAUGGGUGGCUGGUGACCAGGGCUUUUAACUCUGGCAAAAUAGAUAUUGUUAUCAUCAAUGACCCCUUCAUUGAACUCAACUACAUGGUCUACAUGUUCCAGUAUCGUUCCACCCAUGGCAAGUUCAAUGGCACAGUCCAAGCUGAGAAUGGGCAGCUUGUCAUCAAUGGAAGGCUCAUCUCCAUCUUCCAGGAAUGAGUUCCCACCAACAUCAAAUAGGGUGAGGCUGGUGCUGAAUAUGUUGUGGAGUCCACUGGUGUCUUUACAAUCUUGGAGAAGGCUGGGGCUCGUUGAAGGGUGGAGCCAAAAGGGUCGUCAUCUCUGCCCCUUGUGCUGAUGCCCCCAUGUUUGUGAUGGGCAUGAACCAUGAGAAGUGUGACAACUCCUUUAAGAUUGUCAGCAAUGCCUCCUGUAGCACCAACUGCUUGGCCCCCUCUGGCCAAGGUCAUCCAUGACAACUCUGGAAUAGUGGAGGGACUCAUACCACAGUCCAUGCUAUCACUGCCACCCAGAAGAUGGUGGGUGGCCCCUCUGGGAAGCUGUGGUGUGACUGGCCGUGGGGCUGCCCAGAACAUCAUCCCUGCUUCUAUUGGUGCUGUUGAGGCAGUGGGCGUCAUCCCUGAGCUGAAUGGGAAGCUCACUGGCAUGGAAUUCCAUGUCCCCACCCCCAAUGUGUCAGUUGUGGAUCUGACCUGCUGUUUGGAGAAAGCUGCCAAAUAUGAUGACCUCAAGAAGGUGGUGAAGCAGGCAUCAAAGGGUGCCUUAAAGGGCAUCCUGAGCUACAAUGAGGAUCAGGUUGUCUCUGUGACUUUAAUAGUGAUCCCACUCUUCCACCUUCAAUGCUGAGGUUUGCAUUGCCCUCAAAGACCACUUUGUCAAGCUCGUUUCCUGGUAUGACAAUGAAUUUGACUGCAGCAACAGGGUGGUGGACUUAUGGUCCACAUGGCCUCUAAGGAGUGA